rnacentral:misc_RNA from 1 species
UUCCAGAGUCUCCCAGAUGGCUUGUGAGUCCAAUUCAAAAUUGUCUCCUUAGAAGAUAUGUUCGAAUGUAUGCAUCUGCUAAAAAGAAAUGGAGCUUUUCCAUUUGGAUUGAAAAUUUUGACAUUGUUCAUUGUAUGAAAUUACAGAACCUUACCAAAUGUGCAAUGUCAAGCACUUCAUGCUCAUCUGACGACCAUUCUUUUCCAAAUUUAGGAAGUCUAUAGAGUGUACAUUGCCUUUGCAUCUAGAUGUUUCGACCUGUUCUUAAGUUGUUUUAUCUAAUGUGAGAAACCAUCAGAUGCUCAACGAGUUCAAUUUUCUGCAGGCAAAAGUUGGCAGAGAAAAAGAG